GAUGAACGCUGGCGGCGUGCCUAACACAUGCAAGUCGAGCGAUUCUCUUCGGAGAAGAGCGGCGGACGGUUGAGUAACGCGUGGGUAACCUGCCCUGUACACACGGAUAACAUACCGAAAGGUAUGCUAAUACGAGAUAAUAUGCUUUUAUCGCAUGGUAGAAGUAUCAAAGCUCCGGCGGUACAGGAUGGACCCGCGUCUGAUUAGCUAGUUGGUAAGGUAACGGCUUACCAAGGCGACGAUCAGUAGCCGACCUGAGAGGGUGAUCGGCCACAUUGGAACUGAGACACGGUCCAAACUCCUACGGGAGGCAGCAGUGGGGAAUAUUGCACAGUGGGCGAAAGCCUGAUGCAGCAACGCCGCGUGAGUGAUGAAGGCCUUCGGGUCGUAAAGCUCUGUCCUCAAGGAAGAUAAUGACGGUACUUGAGGAGGAAGCCCCGGCUAACUACGUGCCAGCCGCCGCGGUAAUAC
rnacentral:rRNA from 1 species